CACUUGCCCCCCCCUCUGGGAAGCCAUUUGAUGAUGUAGCUCCUUGAGGGAGAUCUACAGGCUGUUUCUUAAACAAAAAUAAUCCUGGCAUCAGCUGUGCUCAUUUCUAAACCUGGCUUUUGCCCCUUGAACACCUCAGAGCUCAGCCCCAGUUUACAGCUGGAUGUGUUGCUGUAACAAGUAGCAUGAUCCUGCUCCAGUUAAACCCACACCAGCAACCACCCCACAAGGGACAGUUGGAUGCAACAAAAACCCCUCAGCCCCUGUACAGAAUGUCAGUGGUAAGAUCCAAAAAGAUCCCUCCUCUAUAAAGAUGGAAUAUAGGUCCUUGGGUAGGGUUAGAGGUGGUGGUGAAAAACAGGAUGA